GGCCGCGGAGGGGCGCUGUGCGCGACCUGGGCGCCCGGCCGCCGCGUCUCCCCUCGCCGCACUGAGUGCGGCCGCGCUCCUAGAGCAACGCCGCCGCGGCCCCUCGUUCUUGGGUGCGAAGAACCGCCACGACCCAAUUUAAAAUAACAGAGUAUCUCGCGGGGCGCUGCUGGUCACGGUCGAGGCACGGGUGGAAACUGACAGCCGGCAUAGGGGCCCCGGCCGAAGGUGUCACGUGGAACGGCCCGAGCAGGGAAGAUUAUUAUCAACAAGAGUAAACAAUGGAAUAGCUGGAAAUGGUUCAUUGCCCUCUCCAGAUGACCUUGAGCACACAUUGCCCAGCAAUACUGGAGGGAGUGAACACCUUUCUUCUGCCUGCCAAGAAGUUCCUUGAUGUUACAGUGUCCAUUUUGUAGCAGGCAGCAGGUUAGAGAAGAGUGGCAGUGGUUUAAGAUGAAUCUUGGAAGCAGGUCUUGAAAAGACUGCCAAGAACAUGAGGUAGGUAACAAUAGGCCAUGUACUAUUUAUAAAACUUUGUUAAAAGGUUACACAGAUAUAUUAUUUUGGGAUCUGUGGAGUUAGACUAUUUCAGAGAUUUGAGUCUUUGGGCCUUUUCUUGGAACCUGUAGCAGGGGGACAGAGGAGGUAACCACGGCAGCUCAGUGGACACCCUGAAGAUCUGGAAGCAUUAAAAUGACCUAGAAGACUCUGGGAAAUGCUAAUGCCCAGCUGUCACUCCAGACCAACGAAAACAGAAAGGGAGGGGAUGUGUACCUUUCAGAUGGUCCUCAGGUGAUUCUGCCAAAUGGGGAGCUGCAGACCCAAAGCUUUAAGGAAAAAUGAAAUUACCUCUGUUCUUAUUCCUUAUGAUAUGGUAGAUUUUUAAAUAUGUGUUGAUUUCUCUUUACCCAGAGUCUGUACAGUAAAAUGGAAAAACAAAGAGGAAACAAGCAAUGCAGACUGUCACUCCAAUCACAAGUCAAAAGAGGAAGUGGAUUUCCCAUGUCAAGGGUGGGACGUCGUCCCUGGCACUGGUCUCUAUUUGAGCUCCCCUUUGUAACCUCUCCAACACUGAGCUCAGGCCAGGAAUGCUAACUUAACCUGCAGUGCACAGUAGGUACACAGCACGAGAUGGCAAGUGGUUUGAAACUUUAACCUGGGAUGCUAGAGGUCCGCCUCCCAGAACCCUGCUCCUCCCCUCUUGCCUGACCCCAGCUUGGCUACAGCUCAGGCAACCUGAGCAGGGACUCCCCCUCCACCCCUCUUCCUGGACUGGCCAGAAACAUAAAGGGCCUGAAAAUACCAGAUGCAGGGAGGUAGAAAUGAACCAAGGUGGAAGUCCGAGAGCCAGUGAAGAGGGUCAUGAAAUAUUUUGGAGAAAACCUCUUUGUACCAAAUCUCAUUUUUCCUGGAGUUACCCAAGCACAAGACACAUUUCAGGAGCCAACUAAGGAAGAGGCUCAUGGAAUUUUAAGUGUGAUUUAUACAAAAGAAAUCCAGUCUUAGCCAACCUAUGUACUUAAUGUAUGGGUGUAAUUCAGUGCAGUAAUGAUACAUUUGUUCUUUAUUCCCAAAGACAAGAAGACUGAUAAAACAUCAAGGAAAACCCUCAGAAAAGGGAAAAGCCUCACAAUACCAAACAAUAACAGCUACUACAAAACUGGCUUUUACCAGGUCCAGGCACUGUUCUACGUUUUCACAUAUGUUACCUCGUUUAAUUCUCACAGCAGCCUACAAGGUGCGUAUUUUCAUUCUCUCCUCUUUAUAAGGAAAAGAACACAGAGAGGCUGAGGGACUUAUUCAAGGUCAUAGGGCUAGUUGGGGGCGGAACUGGGCUGUGAAGCUAGGCGGGCCACUGUGCCUAACCCUUGAGAUGGAAAACUCAUAUAAAAGACAGGCACCAUGAGUUGUGGUUUCCCUUAAAAGCUAAAAAUUGCUUCCUUGAAAAUGAAGGCCAGAAGAUCCUGCGGUCACAGUCCAUCGCAAGAAAGCAUCUUCAGGGCAGCUGAGUGUGGCACAUUAUGGGGACUAACUUGCAUUCUCUUUAAUUAAAGGAAGAUGUUUGCAGACUUUGGGACUCUAUUGUUGGUCACAAAUGGCUCGCACCACUGGGGACAGCCCAUUGCAACACCCAGUGUGUUGCAACACCACCAUGGCUGGGAGCCACCAGCAUGGCAAAUAGACCCGAGCAGAAAGAUACUGGGGUACCUGUGUUGGCAAAGGUAGCUGGAAGGUGCAUAAACCCAGACACUGGCAGUGUAUGGCAGUACCCCCCACCCCACCGGCUGAUAGCCUUCCUGGAAAAGUGGGCAGGAAAAGUAGCCACUGGCAAACCAAACACAUCACAGUGUUGUGUGUGAGCCUGAAGAGAUCAGCUUGGGGGCAUUCUGCUGUCACCAAGACUAUAGGACAUAAGUUUCAGAAGCCACAGCAUUUGCUGCAUAAGAUUAAAUCACUUCUGGCUGAGAAUUUCUCACUUUAAAAAAAGCAUAUUACAGGUCAUGGGGGAGAGAAUGACAUCACUCAGGACAUUCUGUGCUGCUUCUACUUAGGCAUUUUAGUCCCUUGAUCCUCUAGGUCAGCUAUGUGACUCUGAUCAAGUCACUAAUUGUUACUGUGAGGAGAUGAAAAAUAUGAUUCCCUAACUUCCUUUCAGCUCAAAAAAUCUGUGAUGCUUUGAUUAAAAUGAGACUGGUAUAUAAUUCUGAUUCCCUUUUAGAAGGGUGAGCUCUGAUUGCUAGAUUUUCACUGCAUAUUUUCUUCCUUUCUUCAAUAUUCUUCCAACAAUCCACCCCCAAAUAAUUUUCUUUUUCAUUUUAAAUGAAUAGACUUUUCAUGAGCCUUAGUGUGUUUCUGGUUCAUAGACACUAAGACAUAGAUACUUGUAUUCAAUCCGUAUUAGCAGUAUUUGUUCAUAAGCCUAACACAUAUCUGUAUAUCCAAAUACUGUGUCUAUAAACUUCUCUUGAUCAUUAUGCUUUCUUUUUUUCUAUUCCAAUCCCACCUAAAAUGCAUGCUGUGAUAUUUCAUUAAAAGGAGGAAAUUGUAUUGGAGAAGUUUGUUUUGAAACAUCAACAUGUGCCUUUUGGUUACAUUUCAAAUUAUCAAGAUGGACUUAAAAGACACAACCCCAUUUAGUGUGUUAAUUAUCACAAGAUUCUUAAAGGACACCAGAGCUCUAGGUGGUUUUGCUAUUUAAGAAAUGUGACUGUAAAAACUUUCGUUCAUAAACCCAGCGUGCACUGAGUAUUUGCUAUGGGUCAAGAAGUGGAUUUGCUCUUGAGGAUAAAGAUGAACAAAACAGAGUCCUGCCCUUAAGUCUAGUAGAGCAGAAAAACGUGCAAGUAGGUUGUAGCAGCCACCGUGUGGAAUGGCUCUUCCUCCGUCCCUUACACCCUCCCCACCCCUCCCCCUCUGUGCCCAGGAGGCUGCUGCAGAGUUGUAUUAUGGGACUUGACCCUGAGUGGAUAUUGACUCAUGCAGGGCCAAGGAUAUUGUCUGUCCCAGUAAUUUGGGCCUAUGACUAAGAGGUCUAAUUUAGUCUGGGCAAAGCAGGUGAAUAAAAGACUCAAAACCAAAAAUGACGGAGCAGCCACUUCUGCUUGUCAUGCCAGCUGAGAAUGGAAAUAAUCAGUCUGCACAAAGAGUAGAAUGCAACAGGCACAGUGAGAAGUGGGGGGCAGGGUGGGGGGAGAGAAAGACUGAGAGGCUGGUUUCCCACCAGUUGAUGGUUCCAGACCCUCUCAAGGCCCAGCCACCCUCCAACUCUCCAGGGCCUGAGGUGCCCUUCACUUCUCUUUUCUGUUUACACCUACUCACAUUGUUUUUUUUUUCUUUGCAACCAAGAGUUCUAACUAAUAAAUGAGUACAAUUAAUUGUUAUUGAUAUGACAAUUGAAGUGAGUACAGAACAAAUGUUUACCUAUCUUAUUUAUUAAUAUAUAUAGUAUUUAUAUUAAUAUAUAAAUAUAAUAAUAUUUAUUAAAAUAUAAAUAAACAUGUCAAUUGUAUGCGAUGAUGAAUAGGCCAAUGACAACUCAUUUUGUUCCUAAAUUUUUCCACUGUAAACUUUCCUUCGCGGCAGCAUUUGCGAGACAUCAAGCUUUGUCACUGAAUGUAGCAAGAUGUAUGGCAAUGGUGGGCAACCGGACUUGAUCAAGAGCAAAUUCAGGAAAAAACAAAAAUGCUUACAGGCUGUAUUUCUCUUUCAUUUAAAAUGGCUUUAUUGUUGCGCUCAUGGAGGAAAUUAUAAUUUUACAAUUCAGGUGAUUUAUUUAUUGAAGUUCUCUUUACCAAUAAGAAAACUGUUUUUCAGCCUCUGAAAGAUAUAAUGUAAUCCAAUUUAAGAAUUAGUAGUGCCAGACAGCUUUUUCUAAUUGUUCAUCUCUUUUGUGUGGACAGCACCUCAACAUUCACACGAAUUCAUCUGCAUUAGUCCCAAUUAUCCUCCCAUCCCUCCAAAAAAAAAUUGAGCCCAAGAGGUAUUAUUGGCCUCAUUUAACAUAUGAGAAACUGACACUCUGUGGAAGUUUCAAAGCUUGUCCGUAGAUUCUUUGACACUCUUGCCGUCAGGCAGAGGGACCUAUAUGGCCUCCCUUGGAACAUGUGCAGCACUGCUGACUCCAUGAGUAUAAUAUGAUGGAAGUGACCCUGUGUGACUUGCAGUUGACUUCUACCUGUCUUUCUCCUGGGACGAGUGCCUUUGGAGCCUGCGCCUUCAUGGAAGAAGUCCUGCUAUCCUGAAGCCACCAUGCUCGAGAGGCCACAUGCAGGGACAGCACCAUGAUAGGGAGAGGUGCCUGAGGAGCCCCAGAUGUUCCAGGCCCAGCUGUUUAGGCUUUCCCAGGCCAGGCACCGAACAACAUGAAUGGAAAGGCCUUCAAGAACUCUAGUCCCAGCCACUGUCUGACUGCCACUGCAUGAGGACCAAAAACUGCCUAGCUGAGCACAGUCAACCCCAAAGCAGUGAAAGAUAAUAACAUUAAAUGCUUGCUGUUGUUUUA